AACUGAUACUACCUGCGGGAACCUGCGGAGGGAUCAUUACCGAGUUUACAACUCCCAAACCCCAAUGUGAACAUUACCUUUACUGUUGCUUCGGCGGGAUCGCCCCGGGCGCGGCCGAGAGGCCCAGCCCCGGAUCCAACGUGCGCCCGCCGGAGGACCCCAGACUCCAUGUUUCUUGCAAGGUAUUUCUGAGCUGCUCCUAGCGAGCAAAACAAAAAAUGAAUCAAAACUUUUAACAAU
rnacentral:misc_RNA from 1 species